AUUAAUGAAUUCGCACACUGGCGUUACCACUCAACACACCGACGAAGCAAGACGAUAGACAACAAUUAGCUAAAUCUACAUUAUUGGACAUGAUGGCUAAGUAAAAAACAUCACACCAGAAUCAAGGGGGAGUUCCCGUGCACAUGCUGUCUUGCCUGCCACCAUGUAAGACCUGCUUUUGCUCUUCCUUCAUCUGCCAUGAUUGUGAGGCCUCCCCAGCCAUGUGGAACUGUGAGUCCAUUAAACUUCUUUCCUUUAUAAAUUACACAGUCUCAUGUAUGUCUUUAUUGGCAGCAUGAGAACAGACUAAUGCAGUAAAUUGGUAUUGGUAGAGUAAUGUGCUGCUGUAAAGAUACCCAAAAAUGUGGAAGUGACUUUGGAACUGGGUAACAGGCAGAGGUUGGAACAGUUUGGAGGGCUUAGAAGAAAAUAGGAAAAAUGGGAAAGUUUGUAACUUCCUAGAGACUUGUUGAAUGGCUUUGACCAAAAUGCUGAUAGUGAUAUAGACAAUAAGGUCCAGGCUGAGGUGGUCUCAGAUGGAGACAAGGAACUUGUUGGGAACUGGAGUAAAGAUCACUCUUGCUAUGCAAAGAGAUUGGUGGCAUUUUCCCCUGCCCUAGAGAUCUAUGAAACUUUGAACUUGAGAGAGAUGAUUUAGGGUAUCUGGUGAAAAAUUUGUAAGUGGCAAAGUGUUCAAGAGGAAGCAAAGCAAAAAAGUCUGAAAAAUUUGCAGCCUGAUGAUGCAGUAGAAAAGAAAAACCCAUUUUCUGGGAAGAAAUUCAAGCUGGCUGCAGAAAUUUGCAUAAGUAACGAGGUGCCAAAUGCAAAUCGCCAAGAGAAUGGGGAAAACGUCUCCAGGGCAUGUCAGAGACCUUCACAGCAGCCACUCCCAUCACAGGCCUGGAGGCCUAGGAGGGAAAAACGGUUUCCUGGAGUGGUCCAGGGCCCCCAUACUUUAUGCAGCCUAGGGACUUGGUACCCUGUGUCCCAGUCACUCCAGUCAUGGCUAAAAGGGGCCAAUGUAUAGCUCAAGCUGUGGCUUCAGAGGGUGCAAGCCCCAAGACUUGGCAGCUUUGACAUGGUGUUGGUCCUGUGGGUACACAGAAGUCAAGAAUUGAGGUUUGGGAACCUCCACCUAGAUUUCAGUGGGUGUAUGGAAACGCCUAGAUGUCCAGGCAGAAGCCUGCUGCCCUCUGCUAGGGCAGUGCCAAAAAGAAAUGUGGGGUUGGAGCCCCCACACAGAGUCCCCACUGGGGCACUGCCUAUUGGAGCUGUGAGGGGGGGACCACUGUCUUUCAGACCCCAGAAUGGUAGAUCCACCCACAGCUUGCACCGUGCACCUGGAAAAGCCACAGACACUCAAUGCCAGCCUGUGAAAGCAGCCAGGAGGGAGGCUGUAUCCAGCAAAGCCACAGGAGUGGAGCUGCCUAAGGCUGUGGGAGCCCGCCUCUUGCAUUAGCAUGACCUGGAUGUGAGACAUGGAGUCAAAGGAGAUCAUUUCAGAGCUUUAAGAUUUUGCUGCCUCACUGGAUUUUGGGCUUGCAUGCGGCCUGUAGCCCCUUUGUUUUGGCCCAUUUCUCCCAUUUGGAAUGGGUGUAUUUACCCAAUGCCUGUACCCCCAUUGUCUCUAGGAAGUAACUAACUUGCUUUUGAUUUUACAGGCUCAUAGGCAGAAGGGACUUGACUUGUCUCAGCUCACACUUUGGACUGUGGAAUUUUGAACUAAUGCUGAACUGAGUUGGGGGACCAUUGGGAAGGCAUGAUUGGUUUUGAAAUGUGAGGACAUGAGAUUUGGGAAGGGCCAGGGUUGGAAUGAUAUGGUUUGGCUCUGUGUCCACACCCAAAUCUCACCUUGAAUUGUAAUAAUCCCCACGUCAUGGGAGGGACCCAGUGGCAGGUAAUUGAAUCAUGGGGAUGGGUUUUUCUUACGCUGUUCUCGCGAUAGUGAAUAAGUCUCAUGAGAUCUGAUGGUUUUAUAAAGGGGAGUUCCUUUGCACAUGCUCUCUUGCCUGCUGCCAUGUAAGACAUGACUUUACGCUUCCUUUGUCUUCCACUAUGAUUGUGAGGCCUCCCCAGCCAUGUGGAACUGUGAGUCCAUUAAACCUCUUUCCUUUAUAAAUUGCCCAGUCUUGGGUAUGUCUUUAUUAGUAGCAGAGUUCAGACUAAUACACUCAUUGUCAGUGAGCAGAACAUAACUUUUCCUUAGCGGUAAAUGUUUUUUCUACAUUUAUUUCUAUAAGUGCUUUUUCAUGUGGCCCUUCAAAUGAAGGCACAGAGAGAUAGGACAGAUAAGAUCCUCAACAACAUCUUUAGAGUAAAUGCAGUACUGGUCUCAUAGGACUAUUUUAAAAAACAUUUUUCAGUGAAAGCUAACAAAUAAAUAAGUCACAGUAUACAAGGUUCUAGAGAAUUUGUAUGUGUUGGAGUGAGAAAGUUUUAGUGACCCAUUCUGAGGAUGGGCCAGAAAACAGAAGGGCUAGGAUUAGUAAUCUUCUUGGAGUACCUCAGAAUACUAAAUGAUCAUGAACUAUCUUUCAAUUUUCUAGAAAAUUUGAUGUGUUUUCUUUUCUGACAGGAGCUAGGCAACAUUACACCAUAAACCUUUUACUCUUUACACAUUUGUCAUGCAUUUACCCUGCUAUGUGGAAAACAGGAGCCCUAUGAAUUUGCUUGUUAUAGAAUCCAGUAUCCAAAUGUUGCUUUCACAUUCAGUCCUAGGGUCUGUGUCUAUUUUUCUUUACAGCUUACUUAGUAAUGUUGACAUACCACAUGUUGGUUCAAAUAUAUUUUUCUUAAUUAUUAAUAUUAGCAACUAUAUUUGCACUGAAAAUAGAAAGCUGCUUUUAGGCUUAGGAGGAUGCUAAAUCCCCAGUGCAUAAUUUUCUAUCCUGUCCCAUAAAAUUGUGUUCUUUACCUUUUAGGCACUGAAUUCUGUGGGUUCUAUUGUAAGCAGCACAGCCCUCCCUUUCCACCACAAUUCAGACAAUUAAGAAUUGACCAGAUGACAAAAUUAAAAAACCCAGAUCUAAAAUAAGCUUUGGAGACCUAGAUUUAAUAAGUAUAGUAAAUUUGGCUAUAAUGCUAGUGAUAAAGCAAUGUUCAAAAUGACUAUGUCCUAUAAAUAUGUGACUAUGCAGCUUAGACCAAAUGUUGUGAGUCAUAAAUCAACUUACAAUUGGUAUCCCAUCCAAAGCUUUCAGUUCUGGAAGAUGAAAUAUUACAAACAACCGGUAGUUUUCUUGAUUCCAUAUAAUGAUGUUCCCACACAUGUCUAGAAUGACCAAGUUGCAUAAACCCUAGGUAAUAAAAUACAUAUAUUCAUCUAUAUGUAUAUUUAAAGCACUCUAGUAAGAGGUUAGCCAUCCUCAAAUUUUAAUAUUGGAAUUAUCUAUCAUUCCAUGGGAUUUCAGUGCCUUUAAGUAUACUUUUUUUUUUUUUUUUUUUUUUAAAGACAUGGUCUCGUGCUGUUGCUCAGGCUGGAGUGCAGUGGUCUGAUCAUAGCUCAUUGCAGCCUCAAACUCCUAGGCUCAAGUGAUUCUCCCACCAUGGCCUCCCAAAGUGCUGAAAUUAUAGACAUAAGCCACCACGCCCAGCCUCAGUGCACUUUUAAGUGCAAGGGUUACCCUUUCAGACCACUUAGGUAUAUUUUGUGCAGUAUUUCAAUGGUCUAUGUUAUAUAAUCAGAAUCCCUUUUAGGAUACUAGUGCCAAAUGUAUUAUCUAUUAAUGGUAAGGGCUUAGAGGGAACUUCACUAUGUUUAAGACAAAUAUACUUUGUUUAUGGAAUAAUGGCUUAAUAAAUGGAUGUAUGUGUCUAUAUAGAUAUAACAGGAAUAAAAGACACUGCUAUUUGAAAAGUGA